rnacentral:rRNA from 1 species
UAGGGAAUAUUGCACAAUGGGGGAAAGCCCUGAUGCAGCGACGCCGCGUGAAGGAAGAAGUAUCUCGGUAUGUAAACUUCUAUCAGCAGGGAAGAUAAUGACGGUACCUGACUAAGAAGCCCCGGCUAACUACGUGCCAGCAGCCGCGGUAAUACGUAGGUGGCAAGCGUUGUCCGGAUUUAUUGGGCGUAAAGCGAGUGCAGGCGGAGCAGCAAGUCUGAUGUGAAAGGCGGGGCUCAACCCCGCAGUCGCAUUGGAAACUGUUGAUCUUGAGUACCGGAGAGGUAAGCGGAAUUCCUAGUGUAGCGGUGAAAUGCGUAGAUAUUAGGAGGAACACCAGUGGCGAAGGCGGCUUACUGGACGGUAACUGACGUUGAGGCUCGAAAGCGUGGGGAGCAAACAGGAUUAGAUACC